CCUCAUAGUCAAGUGAAGAAAGACCAACUUAGAAGUGCUUGGCUGGAAGAAAACUUCUCAGAAUGGAUCUUUUGAUAAAGGCAAGAUGGAAAUCCAAUACUGACCACCCAUGAUGAUGAAAUGGAUAUCUACCAGCUUGACAGUUGCUGGUAGGGAGUCGACGGUCAAAGAUAAGCAGCCAUUGUUUUGGAUCAAGAGUUGCUGCUGGAGACUGAAGAUUUCUCCACUUCCCGAGUCUGAGUGAUUGAUGACCUCGUCCUUGCAACAAUUCCACAAUCAUAACUGAAGGCAGAUCUCGACUUUGUAUUGAUCAAGGCUAUCUGAAUGAAGCAGAGGAGUUUGCAAACCAAGAUCUGUAUCCAGUUCAAGACUCUGGUUGGUGGAAUUUGCAUACCACGAGCUGCAUCCAGAACAAGACUUGACUUGAUGAUGUGAGCUUGUGAAGACCUGCAUCCAGUUCCAGAUUUGACUUGAUGCUGUGACCUUGUAAAGAGCUGCCUGCAACCAGUUUUAGGUAUGCACAUUUGGACACUUCUUGCAAGGAAAGGCCAGUUUCCCCAUCCAUUUUCAGGCCAGUUUCCACAAUGGUGUAUUGUAUGAAGCUUCAACAAAGAAGAUUGGGAAAAGGCCAGAUCCCCUGCUGACGUAGAGUCUCGUCAAAGUAGAACAGGAAAUGGAGCCAACAAUGCUUGAUCGAGGAAGGCGACCUAAAUGCCCAAUCGAGUGUCAACAGUUUCCUCAUCUCUUGUACACAUUCCAUGAUGUCUCUGCAACAGGAGUGAGUCUGUCUUUGAUCCAGUGACAGCAUGAUGUGAUGGUCAUCAACAGCAGAAACAUUGUUGAUGGCGAGUCUUGUUCGGCACAGAGGACAAGGCAUAGGAGUGAAGGAAGAGCCUUAUUUCCCUUUGAAGGAAGGAUCCUCUUUGCUUGUCGGCUAAGGACACAGAACGAGUGAGAAAAAGUGUGAGGAAGAGCCAAUUUCCCUUUGAAGGAAGGAUUCCCUUUCCUUUGUCAGCCGAGGACACAGAACGUGGAUCUUAACCUCCUGCAACCUAGAACAAGUGCGAGGACUUUGACAUUGAUGUUGGUUUCACCGUUACUCAUGUCAUGGUCAAGAACAUCAGUUGAGGUCAACUUUGGCCAGAAGGACUUUGAAGGAGAGAAGCCAACCAUCUCGUACACCAAGAAAAGCACCAACCGUGGUGUUGCUUUCACAAUUGGGAAGAACUAAAUGGUCAAGCCCUGUUCCCUCAUUCAGGGUCAAGAACAUCUGUUGAGGACAACUUUGACCAGAAGUCCUACAGGUGGAGCCAUAUUUCCCUUUGAAGUAAGGAUUCUCUUUCCUUUGUCAGCUGAGGACACAGAACGUGGAUCUAAACCUCCUUCCACCAAGAAGAAGUGUGAGGUUCUUCAUGGAACUGAACCUGCUGAUUUUAACGUCAGAAAGUCCAGUCCUGCAUGUGAAAACAAAGCUGGAGAUACCCUGCCACCGAUUUUCUCCACCUACAUCCAUCAUUACAAAUAACAGCUUGGUCGUUCUGUGUUGAAGGCUUUCACCUUUUGUCCUGUGAUCACUUAUAUGCUUCACAUCUAAUUCAGUGAUCUGUGACACUGAUACCUUGCCAAGUCUUGUCGCCCAAUGUGGAUCACCAAGAGGGAUCCUCUGAAGACCAUGGUGAUAUGCAGUUCAUGGUCUGCGGAGCUUAUGUCUGCAUGGAAGCAAGACAUGUUAAACGAGAUCUUGCAUGGACUUUAUAUCUAUCUGGUGAAUGGCUUUUGACAUUUAGGAAACCCAGCAAGUUUGAGGUUUUGGAGCUCAUGGUCUUAAGGGACUCGAAUCAGACAAGGAAAGCCAGCAAGUUUGAGGUUUUGGGAGCUCAUGGAUCUGGAGGAACUCUAAUCAGACAAGGUAUGGACAUGCUCUCCUCUUCCCGUAUUUAUUACUGAAUCAAAUUUGUAGUACAUAAUAAAGCUUAAGCCUAUUCUGGAAACAAUUUUGAGGUGUAAUCCAGUCUAGACACAUGGUAGAUGAUUAAUCAUGAAUUUCAUUUAUCUUGCAUGAAAAACAACUUUUUGAGAUGUAUCCAGUGGGUAGAUAAUUAAUUAAUACAAAAUAUGAUUUCUGGGUCUACAUUACCGUAUGUAUUGAGUGAUUGUUAUGAGCUGUUAUGAGAACAUGAUGAUUGUUGUUAUCCUCUUGAACUCUCUAUCUGAAAGCACGCCAGUGCAUGGAUGAGAUUCUUCAAUCUGAUACUUGUAACAACUCCAUUAAUUCCUGCCUGGAAUAGGUCUUCAGGUACUUACAGCUAAAGUACUCAAAAUAGCCUGGGCUAGAUAAAGUUAUAAGAAAAAUAAUCUUAAAGCAUGGUUGUAGUUCAUGCAGUAGGUCUUUUAUUCUGCUUACUUGCAAGCUGUGAUCAGAAGAUGGGAAUGGCCGUCUUCAAGAAAAGGUGUUUGUUUCUCACUGUUUUCUGUAUUUUUCUAAUCUUUCAUUG
rnacentral:lncRNA from 1 species